AUGUGUAGGACAAUGACUAGAACAAGGAACUGCAGCAGAACCUUUAACAGGAAAGACAAGAACACGUACGGGACAGCAGCAGCAGAAGCGCUGGACUUGGGGUCGGUGUCCUCGCUUGCCAUGUCGUCGAGGAGGUUGUGGACGUCGGGGAAGAAGUCAUCGGCGACCGGAUCGUCCGUGAUGAAGCAGCUAAUAGUCGCGCUGAGCGCUCCCCGAAAACCUUAUAGUCGCGCUGCGACGGGAGGUGAAGCGAACAGGCAGCGGCCGAAGAGGCGCGCCGUUCGAAUUCAGUGUCCACUACAGAAAACGUUUCAACUCCCACGUGACCUUUCGUAUACCUGUCGUGCGUGGCAAAAAUUUAGACAUCGGCUCAUUCCCGCAACCCGCGGCGCGCCGUGGCGUGGCGAGGCGGGCGGAGGAGGAGGAGCGCGCGUGGAUGUCCCUCUUGUUCUCAUGCUCAUACAUGUGGGGAAAGAACCUCCCUUAUAA
rnacentral:rRNA from 1 species